ensembl:lncRNA
GUGUGUGUGUGUGUGUGUGAGGUGUAGAUGUGUGUGUGUUGUGUGUAGAUGUGUGUGUGUGAGGUGUAAAUGCUUGUGUCACGUGAAGAUGUGUGUGUGAGUUGUGUGUCAAGUGUAGAUGUGUGUGUGUGUGAGUGUGUGUGUGUGUGUGUGUGUGUGUGUGUGUGUGUUGUGUAGAUGUGUGUGUGUGUUGCAUGUAGAUGUGUGUGUGAGGUGUAGAUGUGUGUGUUGUGUGAAGUGUAGAUGUGUGUGUGAGGUGUAGAUGUGUGUGUUGUGUAGAUGUGUGUGUGUGUUGCAUGUAGAUGUGUGUGUGAAGUGUAGAUGUGUGUGUUGUGUGAAGUGUAGAUGUGUGUGUGAGGUGUAGAUGUGUGUGUGUGUGUGUUCAGGUGUAGAUGUGUGUGUGAAGUGUAUAUGUGUGUGAAGUGUAGAUGUGUGUGUGAGGUGUAGAUGUGUGUUGUGUGAGGUGUAAAUGUGUGUGUGAGGUGUGUUUGUGUCAGGUGUAGAUGUGUGUGUGAGGUGUAGAUGUGUGUGUGAAGUGUAAAUGUGUGUGAAGUGUAGAUGUGUGUGUGAGGUGUAUAUUACAUUACAGUGAGCAUUACAGCUGUCAUUCUAUCUUGGGUACAAAGUAUUUAGAGAGAUUGUGAAGUGUAGGUGGCUGGGUGGGGUGGUUAUGGAUGUGUGUGACAGAGUGUAUUUGAGAUAAGUAAGUUAAGUAGUUUUUUAGUUUGUUCUGGAGUCCAGCGUAAUUAAUGUAAUGUUUGAAAGAGUCAAGUAGCCUACAGAAUAUAAUGUUGUGCAAGUUCAUGGUAUGAUGUUGUUGGUAGGGUCCAUCUUACUGGUUGUGGUGCU